rnacentral:rRNA from 1 species
AAUGAACGUUGGCGGCGUGGAUUAGGCAUGCAAGUCGAGCGAGGAUUUGCGAUUGGAAGCUUCGGCCGAAGAAAGUGAAGGAAAGCGGCAAACGGCGUAGUAAGGCGUAGGUACGUACCCUCGGGUCGGGAAUAGCCAUGGGAAACUGUGGGUAAUGCCCGAUAAUCUCUGCGGAGCAAAGGUGUGAUUCCGCCGGAGGAGCGGCUUACGUGAUAUUAGCUAGUUGGUGGGGUAAUGGCCUACCAAGGCAACGAUGUCUAGGGGGUGUGAGAGCAUGGCCCCCACGACCGGAACUGAGACACUGUCCGGACACCUACGGGUGGCUGCAGUCGAGAAUCUUCCGCAAUGGGCGAAAGCCUGACGGAGCGACGCCGCGUGGUGGAUGAAGGCCCUUGGGUUGUAAACACCUGUCAGAGGGGAUGAAAUCAUGGUUGGCAAUCCUUCCAUGUUGACAGAGCCUCAGAGGAAGCACGGGCUAAGUACGUGCCAGCAGCCGCGGUAAAG